CGGCAACCGGCGCCGCUCCCCCCCGUCGCUUGGCUCUGACGUCACCGGCGGCGCCGCGCGGGCGCCAUGGCGGAGGUGAGGGUGAAGGCGGAGACCCCCGAUCCCGUGGAAAUCGAGAGCAGGAUUAUUGAGCUGUGCCAUCAGUUCCCUCACGGCAUCACAGACCAGGUGAUUCAAAAUGACAUGCCUCACAUGGAAGCCCAGCAGCGCGCCAUGGCUAUCAACAGGCUCCUCUCCAUGGGGCAGCUGGACCUUCUCAGGAGCAAUGCAGGUCUCCUCUACAGGAUCAAAGAGUCUCAGAAUGCAAGUAAAAUGAAGGGCUCUGACAAUCAAGAGAAGCUGGUUUACCAAAUUAUAGAAGACGCAGGCAACAAAGGUAUUUGGAGCAGGGACAUCAGAUACAAAAGCAAUUUGCCUUUAACGGAGAUUAACAAGAUACUGAAAAAUUUGGAAAGCAAGAAACUAAUUAAAGCAGUUAAAUCUGUAGCAGCAUCCAAGAAGAAGGUGUACAUGCUGUAUAACUUGCAGCCGGACCGGUCGGUGACUGGUGGGGCUUGGUACAGUGACCAAGACUUUGAGUCAGAAUUUGUGGAGGUGUUAAAUCAACAGUGCUUUAAAUUUCUACAGAGUAAGGCAGAGGCAGCUCGUGAGAGCAAACAGAACCCUAUGAUACAGAGGAACAGCUCAUUUGCCUCAUCCCAUGAGGUGUGGAAAUACAUCUGUGAGCUGGGGAUCAGUAAGGUAGAGUUGUCAAUGGAAGACAUUGAAACCAUUUUAAAUACGCUGAUAUAUGAUGGAAAAGUGGAGAUGACGAUUAUUGCUGCAAAGGAAGGGACAGUAGGCAGUGUGGAUGGACAGAUGAAGCUGUACAGAGCCAUUAGUCCUCUCAUACAACCUACUGGAUUAGUCAGGACGCCCUGUGGACUCUGCCCUGUUUUUGAUGAUUGCCAUGAGGGUGGUGAGAUUUCUCCAUCAAACUGUAUUUACAUGACAGAGUGGCUGGAAUUUUGAAGUGAAAGAAAACUGUAAACGGGAUUUGUGCUUCACAGCCAAGGCGGCAAAGCUGCUUGCUCUUUUCAAAAGUGAACUUCUAAAUUCGAGAGUGACUUCAGGACACAGAGUGACUUCGUUUUUAAUGAAACACAAAGCAGCAGCAUAUCAGUUGCAUGAGGAUUCCUAUGAGUGGACUGGAAAUUGAGUCAGCACUGAAUAUCCAGGCUGAAGUGGAAAUGUAGAUCCAUUCUUGUCCCAAAAAUUGUUUGCAUAACUUGAAAAGUGCCAGUUAACAGAUGGGUGGUGAUGGAUUCCAAGGAUUGUGUUGAGUAUUCCACAGAUGCUUAUUUUUAAUGAGAGAAAGCAAGUCAUUAGCUGAUCAGAAAGACUUGCUAAUGAGUGUUGCCAAGAAUGAGAUCCCAAACUUUGCUGUCAGACUGAUGCUGCUAGUGAGUCCUCAAGUCCUCAAGCUGACGCCUUUCUCCCAUGACAGCUACCAUCUAAUGGAAGAUAAAGAAUCCAAUGUGGGAAACAUCCUGAAUAUGUCAAGCAGAACUCACUGAUUCUUCAUUAUCUUUCUUACCUGUGUUGUCUGGAGGUGACAGGAACGCAUAUCUCUACAGAGGCCGAAGAGCUCUCACAAAAGAGAUGAGGGGAUAAAAUGCUCAGCUGUUUGUUCUUCCUCUGUCCUCUUUAACCACUCAGCACGCUGAGGUCUGAGGAAGACACUUGCUCAUUUCACUGGUCAGAGCCUUAACCCCACCUUCAGGCAUCCGCUAUGUGGCCAAAGGUAACUCCACUGAGGUGUGGGGCUGCGUUGCCUUUGUCUUCCUGAGUUCAAAGAAGACAGAACACAAUAGGGUCCUGGAUCCUGCUGCUGCAGAGAUAAGACAUUGUUUGUGCUCUACUGCAGCUGGAAGAUAGCUUUCAGGAGACAACAUGCCUUUAUCAUGCAGGUAUGUCACGCAGUAUAACCAUACCCACUGGCAAUAAGAAAAAGGGGAGAGAGCUUGUCAGUGAACAGCUUUAGGUAGGAAAGAUCUGGUUUGUUAAGAUCUUCAAAUUCUGGCUCAUUUGUGUUUGGUUUAUCUGGUUUCGGUGACCUUUGUCUCUGAAGCUUCUUAGUGUUGCAGCUGUAACAAGACUUCUCAAAUGUGGAAAAAAAGUACGCCUAUAGAGAAAAGUAAAGCAAUUUCACUUUCCUGUUUGUAAAACAGGAAUCUGUCUGGUUACAAAUCACUACAAAAUUUAAUGUUUGAGGAAGCUGCAAUACUCCAGUGCUGAAUAUGAAAACACCAAAGUUAACACUCAAAACAUAGAUAACAUCGUACACUUCGAAGCAUGAUCUGCUCAUUUCUUUAUGCAAGCAUCAUAGGAGAGAUCACAGUGGAGUUGCUACAGGACUGUGAGGGGCAUUCAGGGUCGGGGAGCUGGCUCCCGUUGCAGUGGAACCCUGUUAAUAUGAGCCCCGUUAAUGGGAGCCCCAGGGUGUGUAGACCCCACUGUGACCCUACCUGGCGGUGCUGAGACAUUUCCUCUCCAGCAGUAACCACUGUACAGAAGUGUGUUGGAAGGUAGUCACACCCAAAGUCCAUUUUCACAUGGAAUCCAGCGCAAGAUUGCUUUUUAUUUCCGAGAGAAACAUUAACUACACUACCAGGCUGUGUUGUGAACUGAGGGAAAGCACAGCUCACAGGUGCUGUUUAACAUCUCUUGCCUUUACAGUUCAAAGUUUAAAACAUUAACGGCAAACUUGAAGCUUUGAUAAAGAAAACAUUUAUCCCAUGGCUGAAUGGGUGUUAGGUUUGUCCUGGAUUUGCUUGCUUCAUUUACUCUGAUGAUAAAUCGUGACGCUUAUUCAUCUGGUGCUGUUUGAGUGCCAUCUUCUGUCCCAUCCUGGCGUGACUACCCUGGGGAUCAAGAAAGAAAACUCUUAAACCUUGCUCUGGUUUCCUGUUUGCCUCCACCACUAAAUCUCCUUCUGCUGAACAUCUCAUGCUUUGAAACAGGGUACAGGCACCUGAAAGAGGUCUGUCCUUUGCCACAGACAGACCACCAUCCCCUCUUGCUUCACAGGGCUGGGACUUUCAGUCUGUUCACCUGUGGGAAACUGGUACCCAGGCACUCAGCCACACCUGGAGGAGACAAAAAGGUCCUGUGAGAAGCUCCACGGAUUGUGCCCAAGUUCUUGUUCAAAUGGUUUACUUCCCCCUGAGAAAGUUAAUUAUUGCACUUUGCAUGCUUUUCAGGCGAUCCUGGGGGAGUGGGGAGGAGGGAAAGAGAGCUCAAAGCAUUCUCUUCCAGCUGUUAAAACAAGUUGGGGCUGAUGUAGGCAGCCUGUGUUCCUCCCC